UAGUGUUCUUGGGGAAGAUCCCGACUUAGCCAUUUUCCAGUGGCACCUCUUCCACCAUGAGUUCCUGAGGCAGUCCGAUGGGGCUACUUUAGUCCAGAACAAUCACAGUGUGGUGUCAGCACAGCGGCAGGUCACCGUUCAGGAAGGACCCUUGUACCGCACGGAGGGCUCCCACAUCACUAUCUGGUGCAAUGUGAGUGGCUACCAGGGACCUUCUGAACAGAAUUUCCAGUGGUCCAUUUACCUGCCUUCGUCGCCAGAGCGAGAGGUGCAGAUCGUCAGCACCAUGGACUCUUCCUUCCCCUAUGCCAUCUACACCCAGCGCGUCCGCGGAGGGAAGAUCUUCAUAGAAAGAGUCCAGGGGAACC
rnacentral:lncRNA from 1 species